GUUGAAUCGGCUCAGUGCCGAUCCAUGUACAAAACAGAUCACACCAGGUAGAGAGAGUGAGAGCACAUCUUACUGCUGAUCGGAAAAAGUUCUAUGAAUAUAUAAUAGAGAGGUCGCAGUUUCAUUAAUCAGGUUUCCUGUGUAUCUUGUGAGGAGUGUGAAACCUUAGAUGGCGAGCCAACCAACUGGAUCUUCUGGAGUCUCUGCGAACUUGAACUUCAAAUCCUGAGAAACAUUAUGUGGUAGGACAGUUACCAACAAAGAAUCUUACAGACAUUGGAGGACAUUUUUUUUUUUAUUUAGGCCACUUUUGAAAGACUGCCGAACUGUCGUGCACAAUACACAUACACUGAUAAACACACACCAACAUUAGUUUAAAAAGGGGUUUUAUUCAUUUUAUUUGUACGCCGGCUACAUUCUAUUGUGACUUUGUACAAUAUAAUUUUCCUACUAAAUUUACAUUGAAACUGUUACAGUGAAUCUGUCCAUUCAUUUGUGUUGCAAUGUCUGAAACUCUUAUGAACUUAGAGUUGUGUAUUUACCUACAGGUGGGUUACAAAAUGAUUAACUGUUUAUCAGCAAACGUGACCAACUCUAUAAAAGCAGAUGUUUUGGCAGUUUGCUGCUCUGGAGCCCUCAGUGAGAGAGAU